rnacentral:rRNA from 1 species
GAUGAACGCUGGCGGCUUGCCUAACACAUGCAAGUCGAGCGAUCUUCUUCGGAAGAGAGCGGCGGACGGGUGAGUAACGCGUGGGUAACCUGCCCUGUACACACGGAUAACAUACCGAAAGGUAUGCUAAUACGAGAUAAUAUGCUUUUAUCGCAUGGUAGAAGUAUCAAAGCUCCGGCGGUACAGGAUGGACCCGCGUCUGAUUAGCUAGUUGGUGAGGUAACGGCUCACCAAGGCGACGAUCAGUAGCCGACCUGAGAGGGUGAUCGGCCACAUUGGAACUGAGACACGGUCCAAACUCCUACGGGAGGCAGCAGUGGGGAAUAUUGCACAAUGGGCGAAAGCCUGAUGCAGCAACGCCGCGUGAGCGAUGAAGACCUUCGGGUCGUAAAGCUCUGUCCUCAAGGAAGAUAAUGACGGUACUUGAGGAGGAAGCCCCGGCUAACUAC